rnacentral:rRNA from 1 species
AUUGAACGCUGGCGGCAGGCUUAACACAUGCAAGUCGAGCGGGGUGAUGGUGCUUGCACUAUCACUUAGCGGCGGACGGGUGAGUAAUGCUUAGGAAUCUGCCUAUUAGUGGGGGACAACAUCUCGAAAGGGAUGCUAAUACCGCAUACGUCCUACGGGAGAAAGCAGGGGAUCACUUGUGACCUUGCGCUAAUAGAUGAGCCUAAGUCGGAUUAGCUAGUUGGUGGGGUAAAGGCCUACCAAGGCGACGAUCUGUAGCGGGUCUGGGAGGACGAUACGCCACACCGGGACUGAGACACGGCCCAGACUCCUACGGGAGGCAGCAGUGGGGAAUAUUGGAAAAUGGGGGGAACCCUGAUCCAGCCAUGCCGGGUGUGUGAAGAAGGCCUUAUGGUUGUAAAGCACUUUAAGCGAGGAGGAGGCUCUUUUGGUUAAUACCCAAGAUGAGUGGACGUUACUCGCAGAAUAAGCACCGGCUAACUCUGUGCCAGCCGCCGCAGUAA